CCUACGUUUAGGGGUACAUCCAGAAACGGGGGGAAUUGCUGUACUGGAUAAGGGGAUUAUGAUGCAGGCUGAGGGGAGGAGAUGUGUGGGAGGUUACCAGGACAGGAUUGGCUACUGUACUAAUGACUGUAAAUCCCUCCCUUGCAUGGGAGCAUGCUUUAAAAGGCCAGUGUGGAAUAAAGCUUUCAGUUCUUUUCCUGAAACCGUGUGUCGUCCAGUUAUUGGGAUUGCUGUGGGGAUACUGCUGUUAUUUUGUCUGCUGGAAACCUUGC